rnacentral:rRNA from 1 species
UACGGAGGAGGCAAGCGUUAUCCGGAAUUAUUGGGCGUAAAGCGUCUGUAGGUGGCUUUUUAAGUCUGCCGUCAAAUCCCAGGGCUUAACCCUGGACAGGCGGUGGAAACUACCAAGCUGGAGUACGGUAGGGGCAGAGGGAAUUUCCGGUGGAGCGGUGAAAUGCGUAGAGAUCGGAAAGAACACCAACGGCGAAGGCACUCUGCUGGGCCGACACUGACACUGAGAGACGAAAGCUAGGGGAGCAAAUGGG